GACGAACCGUGCGAACGUUAUUCGGAAUCACUGGGCUUAAAGGGCGCGUAGGCGGCCCUCCAAGUCAGGGGUGAAAGCCCACGGCCCAACCGUGGAAGUGCCUUUGAUACUGGGGGGCUCGAGGGGGAUAGGGGCGUGCGGAACUCAGGGUGGAGCGGUGAAAUGCGUAGAUAUCCUGAGGAACACCGGUGGCGAAAGCGGCGCGCUGGGUCCCUUCUGACGCUGAGGCGCGAAAGCCAGGGGAGCAAACGGG
rnacentral:rRNA from 1 species